CAGCCGCCGCGGUAAUACAGAGGGUGCGAGCGUUAAUCGGAUUUACUGGGCGUAAAGCGUGCGUAGGCGGUUAUAUAAGACAGAUGUGAAAUCCCCGGGCUCAACCUGGGAACUGCAUUUGUGACUGUAUAGCUAGAGUACGGCAGAGGGGGAUGGAAUUCCGCGUGUAGCAGUGAAAUGCGUAGAUAUGCGGAGGAACACCGAUGGCGAAGGCAAUCCCCUGGGCCUGUACUGACGCUCAUGCACGAAAGCGUGGGGAGCAAACAGGAUUAGAUACCCGUGUAGUCCCUGUCUCUUAUAC
rnacentral:rRNA from 1 species